CAUGAAGGUCUAUGAAUCUGGUAUGGAUUAAGUGGGUCUGUGUCUGUAGUCUUUAAGGAUCUGUGUCUGGUAUAGAUUGAGAAUCAGUGUAGUAACUGUUCUGGACCUGUUUAGCACCCCCUAGAGGCAGUUUAAGUACAGCAGCGUAGAAUUGACCUGUUUGUGUCAUGUGACAGGAAGCAGUUUCAGAAGUGAAGUAAUGUGUAAGAUGCGCAAGUGUGACAGAGUAGUUACAAUCCUUCAACAUAAGCUUUGUAAGAUGCAAUGUGUUUUCACACUGUGAUUCAAGUAAACUUCCAAAACGGCACCAUGCUUCUCACAGAAUUAUUUGAAUGAAUGUUUAUCUAACUGGAUAGCUGGAUAAGGGCUACUGUACAUUUAGUGAGCCCAGUAUAGUAAGACUUGUAUGCCUCCACUCCUGUAGAGAUCAGAAAGGAGAAAUGAAAAGGGUAAUACUUUGUCAAAAUCAGGUAAUACUAGCCAACCAUGAAUUACUUUGCCCUCAUCACGUCCCUUUGCAAGACGUUGGCAACUUGCCAGUCAGAGCUCCAGUGGAAGAGGUCCUGGUACAGCCCCAGGAGAGGGUGGAGGAGAUGUUAGCUGUCAACAACCAGAGCCUCAACAGAACUUUCCAAAUACCUACAUCUCCUCCCCCCAGCAGACUGAUGGAAUCCAGGUGCGAAUUCAUUACACCGAUUCUGUUGAAAAAUGUGUCUUAAACGGAACCGAACGAAGCGGGGAGGAACCUACCUGAAUUUGUCCAAUAAAAACUCUAAUUUUCAUUGCAAAA